rnacentral:rRNA from 1 species
UGGGGAAUAUUGCACAAUGGGGGGAACCCUGAUGCAGCGACGCCGCGUGAGUGAAGAAGUAUUUCGGUAUGUAAAGCUCUAUCAGCAGGGAAGAAGAUGACGGUACCUGACUAAGAAGCCCCGGCUAACUACGUGCCAGCAGCCGCGGUAAUACGUAGGGGGCAAGCGUUAUCCGGAUUUACUGGGUGUAAAGGGAGCGUAGACGGCAGGGCAAGUCUGGAGUGAAAGCCCGGGGCCCAACCCCGGGACUGCUUUGGAAACUGCCAUGCUAGAGUGCUGGAGAGGUAAGCGGAAUUCCUAGUGUAGCGGUGAAAUGCGUAGAUAUUAGGAGGAACACCAGUGGCGAAGGCGGCUUACUGGACAGUAACUGACGUUGAGGCUCGAAAGCGUGGGGAGCAAACAGG